rnacentral:rRNA from 1 species
AGUGAACGCUGGCGGUAGGCCUAACACAUGCGAGUCGAACGGCUGCACAGGAGAGCUUGCCCUCUGGGUGGCGAGUGGCGGACGGGUGAGGAAUACAUCGGAAUCUACUCUGUCGUGGGGGAUAACGUAGGGAAACUUACGCUAAUACCGCAUACGACCUACGGGUGAAAGCAGGGGACCUUCGGGCCUUGCGCGAUUGAAUGAGCCGGUGUCGGAUUAGCUAGUUGGCGGGGUAAAGGCCCACCAAGGCGACGAUCCGUAGCUGGUCUGGGAGGAUGAGCAGCCACACUGGAACUGAGACACGGUCCAGACUCCUACGGGAGGCAGCAGUGGGGAAUAUUGGACAAUGGGCGCAAGCCUGAUUCAGCCAUACCGCGUGGGUGAAGAAGGCCUUCGGGUUGUAAAGCCCUUUUGUUGGGAAAGAAAUCCAGCUGGCUAAUACCCGGUUGGGAUGACGGUACCCAAAGAAUAAGCACCGGCUAACUUCGUGCCAGCCGCCGCGGUAA